rnacentral:rRNA from 1 species
GAAAUGCGAUACGUAGUGUGAAUUGCAGAAUUCCGCGAAUCAUCGAGUCUUUGAACGCAAGUUGCGCCCGAGGCUUGCCCUCGGGCAUUUCUGUCAGAGCGUCAC